rnacentral:sRNA from 1 species
UAUCCCCAAAAGAGGACGUGCAAUGUUUUAGACCGCUGGAUUAACAAAACCUCCUAAUAGAAUAGGGAUUUCUCCUAUGUACCCUAUAGCCAGCAAUCAUAGCACACUUUACUUCAUCAAAGCCACCAUGCACAGUGCAAAUGGCGAAGUUUCGGGGAGAAAAUAUAUGCAACUUGUGAAAUGACUUAAAUUCCCUUCAUCGUGUCAGCGCAGCAAUUAGAGCAGUCCCCAAGUGACUGGGAAUAGCUGUUUGAGCAAAAGUGGAGCAUCACAGAAGCUAAAUGGAGAUCUAAUCAGAAGAAAAAGAAAAGGUAGAUG